CCUACGGGGGGCAGCAGUGAGGAAUAUUGGACAAUGGAUGGAAAUCUGAUCCAGCCAUGCCGCGUGCAGGAAGAAUGUCCUAUGGAUUGUAAACUGCUUUUGUAUGGGAGCAAUAAGGUAUUCGUGAAUACCGAUGAGAGUACCAUACGAAUAAGCACCGGCUAACUCCGUGCCAGCAGCCGCGGUAAUACGGAGGGUGCAAGCGUUAUCCGGAUUUAUUGGGUUUAAAGGGUGCGUAGGCGGUUAUAUAAGUCAGCGGUGAAAUUUUUCGGCUCAACCGGAAACAUGCCGUUGAUACUGUAUAGCUUGAAUAUGGUUGCUGUGAGUGGAAUGUGUAGUGUAGCGGUGAAAUGCUUAGAUAUUACACAGAAUAUCGAUUGCGAAGGCAGCUCACAAAGCCAAUAUUGACGCUGAGGCACGAAAGUGUGGGGAUCAAACAGGAUUAGAUACCCCGGUAGUC
rnacentral:rRNA from 1 species